rnacentral:ncRNA from 2 species
GAGAGUCGGAUACUUUGAGAGUAGUGUCUUAAGGGGGUGGUAUGUCCCAUCCAAGGCUAAAUAACGUGAGGAGACCGAUAGAUUACAAGUAGUGUGAACGAAAGAUGAAAAGAACUCUAAAACAGAGGGUGAAAAGUUCGUGAACUUGCUUAGGGUUAAGGCUAUUUAUAGUACCCGUCUUGAAACACGGAUUAGGGAGUUUAUCUGUAGUGCGAGUCUUUGCACGUUAACUGUAAAGGCGUAGAGAAAGCAACUGGCGUUUGCAUGGCUACUGAGCAUUACUGAUAGGACCCGAAAGGUGGUGAACUUUGCCUGCACAGGUUGAAGUCAGGGGAAACUCUGAUGGAGGACCGUACGGGUUAUUGAUGUGCAAAUCAUUUUUCUGAUGUAGGUAAAGGUGCGAAAGACUCAUCGAACCACCUAAUAGCUGGUUUCCUCCGAAGUUUCCCUCAGGAUAGCUGUAAUGCAUUUAGUUAAGGGGAGUAGAGAUAUGGGUAGAGGUGCAGGGAGCCUUCGGGUUCUCAACUUAUUUCCAAACUUCGAACCUCCUUGUUAGGCAUUUACCUAACUGGAAAUGCUUAAAUGAAUUAGCGUUACAAGUGGGCUCUGACCGGUAAGCGGUCAUGGCGAAAUGGGAUGAACCAUACGUCUGAAUAAGGUGCCGAAAUGUACUAUCACUGAUACCAUAAAGGGAGUCCAUGUAUUUAGACAGCAGGUCGGUGCCCCUAAAAGCAGGUAUCCGCUAAAGAGUGUGUUAAAACUCACCUGCCGAAUACUAGGGCCCCGAAAAUGAAUGGCGCAUAUAGUACUACCGAUCUCAGACAUCAGUUCUAUUGAACUGAGAGUAGGGGGAUGUGGACAUUUUUGUGAAGGUGCAAUGUGAGUUGGACUGGAAGAAUGUCUAUUACAGAUCCUAAUUGAAGUAGCGAUUAUCCAGGCUUGUAUCCUGGGGGCUGAUGAGGAGUAGGGUUUCUGGACAACUUAAACAGAUCCAGAGUUAGUC